rnacentral:tRNA from 1 species
GGAGAAUUAGCUCAGCUGGAGAGCGUCUGCCUUACAAGCAGAAUGUCGGGGGUUCGAGCCCCUCAUUCUCCA